AUUCUAUAAGGGAAUCUGAACCAUUUGUUGAAUAUGGAAGGGGGCGAGAGCAGCCUGGAGGAAGAUAUACGAGCUUUUUUAUGGAGGACCCUAUGAUGUAAUUAUUACUCGUAUGUAGGAAUGAAUUAUCAUACUUUAAACACUUGCACUUUAAUUUUGACCAUUUGAGAUCGAGGAUGAACUAUUUUUCUUGAUUACCCUAACCUGUUUGGAACUACGUAUAGAAACAAUUGAUACAAAACUGGUGUUUCUGAGCAUAAUAAGCCUCCGUGUCAUCAGGCACGCUUUGAUUAUUAUCGCAUACUAUUAAAGAAUACGUAUCAAAAUGCUUAUUUCAAGCCUUUUUAUUAUUUUGAUAUUUUCAUACGGAUGAUGACUUUUUAUAUAUUAUGUGCAGGUGUUAUUUUGAUAGUUUCUCUAAUCUAUAUGUUAUGGAAUGGCUAGAGGUGUAGCGAUAACAUCAGGGUAUUGUUAUUGGUUGCAAAGGCUUUUAUAGCUACCUAGAGGUUUACAAGAGUGGUCCCUUAUUUUUGUCAUCAAAAGGGAUUGAGUGGACAUCUUGGAAGAAAAGGUGGUUUGUUUUAAUAGAAAUCUCAUUGGUCUUCUU